AAUUGUCAUUCAGGAUCACUAUAAAUCUCAGGAUUCAGAACAUGUUUAAAGAUUCUCUCUAGCUUAUCAUGGUCAUCACGUUGUCAUUCACUGAUCAGUAUAAAUCUCAUAUUUCAUACAAUGCUCAAAGAAUCUAUCUAGCUUUUAGGUUUGUGUUGUGCAAUUCCUAACAUAUGAUCACCUUGAUACUGCUCCUGUAUAACAAUAGGAAAAAUAUAUAUAUUAGUUUCUCAAUAGAUUUUAGGUAUGAGAAUCACAUUAGAAAGACUAUAAUGACUACUUCAUAUAGGUUGGACUAGGUAACAUAGUACACACACACACACACAAGACCAAAAUUUUGAGCUACCUAGUCAUUUUUGUGGAUCUAAUGUUGGUUCUUUUCACCUACUUCUAACAAAUGUCCCAAGUUGUCAAUUUGUUACCCUUCCUGCUUUCAGGAAAUAAAAAGGUAAUUAGUUAACUUUCCACUAGCUUAAUCUGUUAUCUAAACCUAUGCAUUUUGCUUAUUUCUGCUGUAUUAGUAAACCAGCAAACUUAGCUGUGAGCGAUUAUGAAAACCUAGUUAAGGUCCUCAAGUUUUUGCUUAAGGUGGAAAAGCAUUCUUUAUGGUGGAAAGCUAUGCUUCUUUAACUAGGAGCUCUGAAGAAAAGAGAGAGAACAAAAUGGUGGGGGCUUAGAGGUGUGAUGCCUUUUUCCUAAGUCAAAAAUGCCCUAGGAUAUAGUCAAGUCAACUAAAUCUCUCUUAAAAAGUUGACAAAAAAAUGAUAUGUAGAAAUCUUGAUUGAAGCUAUAGUUUUGUGAAUUCAGAAAGCCCCUUUAAGCAGUUACCAUGGGCAAGGGACACAACCUUUUUAGAUGGAUACAACUAUCGCAAGAGUUGCAACUCUUUUCGACCAAGAAUAUAAUUUCAAAUUAAUUAAAAUCAAUUGAAAUAAUUAUAAAAUUUUGUCAAAAAAAUUAAAUUAAUUUUAAUUUCAGAAUCAACUUUGGUGGCCAAGUGCUUUUUAUCUAGAAGAAUUUAAUUAAUUUGAUCAUGUAGGGUUCUUAACUAGCCCGCAUCCAAAAAGUUCAUUUUGAAUACACCUAAGGUGCCAAUUCAUAUAAGAUUUACAUCUAUUUGUUAAAUUUCCAAUGUGGAGCUAUUCAUUUAUCUCCAUCAAAAUUACAAUCUACCCUAGCAGUUUCUCAUUCAAAAAUGAACUCUGUCGUAAUAGUUAAUACAUGAAUACUCUUAAAAAAAACGGGUAGUCCGAUGCACGAAGCUCCCGCCAUGCGAGGUCCCGGGGAAGGAUCCAUUGCAUGUAGUCUUAUUCUGCUUUUUACAAGAGAGAUUCAAACUCGUGACCUCUUGGUCAUAUGGCAACAACUUUAUUGUUGCGCCAAG